rnacentral:rRNA from 1 species
GGUGUUUGGCACCUCGAUGUCGGCUCAUCACAUCCUGGGGCUGAAGUAGGUCCCAAGGGUAUGGCUGUUCGCCAUUUAAAGUGGUACGCGAGCUGGGUUUAGAACGUCGUGAGACAGUUCGGUCCCUAUCUGCCGUGGGCGCUGGAGAACUGAGGGGGGCUGCUCCUAGUACGAGAGGACCGGAGUGGACGCAUCACUGGUGUUCGGGUUGUCAUGCCAAUGGCACUGCCCGGUAGCUAAAUGCGGAAGAGAUAAGUGCUGAAAGCAUCUAAGCACGAAACUUGCCCCGAGAUGAGUUCUCCCUGAGACUUAGAGUCUCCUGAAGGAACGUUGAAGACGACGACGUUGAUAGGCCGGGUGUGUAAGCGCAGCGAUGCGUUGAGCUAACCGGUACUAAUGAACCGUGAGGCUUAACCUUACAACGCCGAAG